ACCAACCCUCCUGGUUUGCCUGGGACUGGGGGCUUUCCAGGGACAUGGGACUUCCAGUGCUCAAAC
rnacentral:miRNA from 1 species